rnacentral:rRNA from 1 species
CGACUCUCGACAACGGAUAUCCCGGCUCUUGCAUCGAUGAAGAACGUAGCGAAAUGCGAUACUUGGUGUGAAUUGCAGAAUCCCGUGAACCAUCGAGUCUUUGAACGCAAGUUGCGCCCGAAGCCAUCAGGCCGAGGGCACGUCUGCUUGGGUGUCACGC